CUGGAGAGCGAUGCUCUGCUCCUGGAGACAAGUGGAUGGACAGCGUAAACUAUGACUCAUCCAUUCUGAGGCGUGCGGGCUUUCGCUCCAUCUCAACUUGCCCAGCCCGUCCGGCGGGAUGGAUCCCUGGGGGACUGUGCUGGUUUGUGUCCACGGUUGCAGCCCUGCUCAGUCUGCAAACCCCACAUUCAGUACACGUUGAACCCGAGCUCAGCCCCAGUUCCCGGUUCUGGUACCACAGUGCAUUGUGAGAUCCACAGGCAUGUGCUGUUGUGGGACAGGCCACUCGCUCUAGUACAGCACUAGCUCCUCUUGGCCAUUGAGAGCAAUGGCUGAGUUGCUUCACUUGGUUUUGGUAUUUUUUACAUAGUGCCUUUCUUUUAUCAAUUGCAAAAUUUUCUUAAAUUCUCCCUAGUGGCAUAACAUCUGAGAUACUGAGUGCAGUCCGUGCACAUGCACUUCUUGUGCAUAACCAUGUGUAUUUACUCUUUGUAACACACCUGAAUGUUCUUUUAGGUGACAACACCAGAAUGAAGUGUUUCCCACAUGCUACUCUCAGAAGCAGCUGUUUCUUAGCCAGAAUCAAAGUGAGUUUUCACUGGUCCUUCCCAUGACACACUGGUAUAUAGCUGUGAGUCCUGCUGCCAUUUGUACCAUUUCCCCUUCAGCAGGAGGGAUUUACUUCUUUCCAUGAGUGACUUAUCCAGGCAGAGUCAUAAACAAGAGAGAGAAAGAGCUAUCAGGCAUAAUUUGAACAUUAUUAGUGUUCUUGAAUGAUGGAGCAAUCUCUCCCUUGAGUUUUCUAUGAAGUAAAAAUGAAAACAUAAUUGAACAAGUACCCUUUUAAAGCUAUAACAAUGCAUGACACUGCAGUGUAGUGUUUGUCUCAUCAACAUUUAACUCUCAUUUACAACAAUUCUUUCUCCUGGUAACAUUGUUACAGCAGUAUCUUGUGGAAAGGGGGAAAAGGUGCUCAUUUCUGCCCGAUGCUACCUGCCUAUUCCCGAUCCCUCUCGAAGGUAUCUUCCCCUUCCCAGCAUGGUUACUGUCAGUUUUGUUUAGCCGGAGUGUCUGAAUAGUGUUAGUGACCAGGAUGUCAUAUUGAACACGGUGAAAUGGCAAAGGCUUUAGAAAGCAGGAAUGCACCCAUGCCUAUCCAGAGCUCUGUAUGCCAUGGGAAGGCUUGGUGUGUGCCUUGGACAUGUUGGCAAACAUCUACGAUAACGUCACUUUCAUAGAGCCCCCCCAGAA
rnacentral:lncRNA from 1 species